rnacentral:rRNA from 1 species
UACGUAGGGUGCAAGCGUUGUCCGGAAUUAUUGGGCGUAAAGAGCUCGUAGGCGGUCUGUUGCGUCGGCUGUGAAAACCCGGGGCUCAACUCCGGGCCUGCAGCCGAUACGGGCAGACUAGAGUUCGGCAGGGGAGACUGGAAUUCUCGGUGUAGCGGUGAAAUGCGUAGAUAUCGAGAGGAACACCGGCGGCGAAGGCGGGUAGCUGGGCCGACACUGACGCUGAGGCGCGAAAGCGAGGGGAGCGAACGGG